AAGAACAGUUCAGAAAAAUUUUCAACGAAAUCAAAGGUACUCCAUAUGAAUGUCAUGUGAAGAGAACAGUUUACGCCAUCGAUAACCAGUUUGCAUCUCAAAGCUAGAUGGUGAAGGAACUUCAACGAGUUGUUUGUGGAUUUCUUAAAACGAUGCAUGAUACGAUACCGCUCAAGUGGCUAAAAUUCAACUAAUACUGGAGGAGAUUGGUAGGGUAACUGAGUGCAAGACAACGAUGAAUGGCCUUCAGUGAUCAAGAUGUGGCAUAGGUUAGAUGAUGAAGGUAUACUGGAGGAAGAGUUAGCCAAAAUCUAUGGAGAGAUGAGAUUAGCAAAGAUGAAACUUGCUUUGAGAUCUUCCUAGAAUUGAUGAAGCAGUUUGGACUUCUGUAAGUUGACCUGGUCAUGAUUACCAAUUUACCGACCAUGUGACAAUAGCAUAGGCCAUUGCUUGUCUCACUCCCACUGUCGUACUGUCCCGUAUUCACUGCAAGCAAUGUCCGGCCCGGUUUCAAACUGCGAGAAAAAAAAGUAAGAUGAUUUGUAUACUACACACAUCCAUUAGUCUUUUGUGCAAUAGGAUGUAGAUUUUACAGUCAAAUAAUAGGUUAAUUGUGUGAUAAGUAUACAGUAUCAUCACAUUUUAAAAAUAUAUUAGUCUUAAAGCUUAGAUACUGAAGUCUUCCCUUUUUUCACAUUAUAAAAGUAGACAGGCCCGUAAGGCCUAUUGAAUUAUACAGAUUGAGUGACUUUUUGUAGAAAAUCUUCAUUUUAUAACAUGCCGUAGUGCAUUAAGAGUGCAAAACUGAAGUACAAAAUUUGAGUCAAACCAGGUUCACCUAUCACCAUCUUGGAUUUGCCAAAAAAAUUGUCACAACAAUAUUCUGGUGCAUUUUAUAAGCUUUACAAAUCAAGGUGUAGUGGAAUUUAAAAAUAUUUCCACUUGUUCAAAAUAACAACAUAAAUGCUGAUGAUAAUGCAGGCAUAUAUGGUGAACAAGUAGCAAAGCCUUUAAAAAUACUUUGUUGAAUAUCUUGGCUCCACAUAGUCUACAGUGUCUUUGUCAUCUCUUUCAGGUUUUUUUUUUGCUCCUAACCACACAAAAGGUCAUAAGGCUGCUUUCCCCCAACCAAAAAUGAUGCCAGGUUCAGUCCCCAACACCUAAUGCAUGAAAUUU